rnacentral:rRNA from 1 species
ACUCCUACGGGAGGCAGCAGUGGGGAAUAUUGGACAAUGGGCGAAAGCCUGAUCCAGCCAUGCCGCGUGUGUGAAGAAGGUCUUCGGAUUGUAAAGCACUUUAAAGUUGGGAGGAAGGGCAGUAAGUUAAUACCUUGCUGUUUUUGACGUUACCAACAGAAUAAGCACCGGCUAACUUCGUGCCAGCAGCCGCGGUAAUACGAAGGGGUGCAAGCGUUAAUCGGAAUUACUGGGGCGUAAAGCGCGCGUAGGUGGUUCAGCAAGUUGGAUGUGAAAUCCCCGGGGCUCAACCUGGGAACUGCAUCCAAAACUACUGAGCUAGAGUACGGUAGAGGGUGGUGGAAUUUCCUGUGUAGCGGUGAAAUGCGUAGAUAUAGGAAGGAACACCAGUGGCGAAGGCGACCACCUGGACUGAUACUGACACUGAGGUGCGAAAGCGUGGGGAGCAAACAGGAUUAGAUA